UGCGUGAGUCGUAUAAAUGCUCGCGUGCCCCUUUCUCCUUCCUCUUUCCAUCAUUGUGUGCAGUAGAGAGAGGAACUGGAUCCAGCAGGCAUUCCUCAUCCAGAUAUGGCCUUUAAAAAGAAAAGACUGCUCUUCAUGAAGUGCUGGGAAAUUUGUAUGUGCUACUUGUGCACAGAAUGACUUGGCUUUCUGCUGGGAUGUUGGCUCGGUAAAAUGAACAUGGGUUCCUAUGGCAAGUUUGUGAUGUGGCCAAGUGAAGCACACACAGGAUGAUCGUUGCUGGAGGACCUGUGCUAGGCAUCUUCAUGGUAGAUGGAGGAGACCUUGUCUAUGGUUGGCUUGACUACAGGUGGCUGUUUUGAAUGGAGUAUACUCAUUGACAGGUGAAGUUGUCUGCAUCCUGUAUCAAGACGCACGAGGCUCAACAGAUUGACAUGCAGUUUGAUGGCUGAGCUCUAGCUGUACUGUGAUCUGAACAAGACCUGGACAUUCUGGCGUUUUCCACUUCGUUAAAUAGAUGUUUAAUUUGAUUGUAUUUGAAUCAUUAUCCGGUGUUCAAAAUUGGUGCCACAUUGUUGUUCUGGUUUUUAAAGGCCAGUAAGUUAAACUGCUGUAAAAAUAGAGUUGAAAUUAUUCAACCUCAGUUCUAAUCAUGACUAAUUGUUUAAUUUAGGCUUGUAAAGUGCCAAUUUAGUGAUCACAUAUGGGGCAGGGGAAACAAUUUCAUUUUAAUAUAAAAUUGUCUUUGAAUGUGGAAUAGGUUUUUUUUUUUUUUUUUUUUUUUGGGCAAGUUAGUAGUGGUCCAUGAUGUUAGUGGUUACCUUUGUGCCUUUUUACUGUUUACUACCAACUGGGUUGUGUUAAGUAUUCAACAUUUUGAGCAAACAUGGUGAAUUAAGGUGGACAGAAUGGAUGGGUUCUUUUUAAUGUUUGUAAAAGUGAUAGAGGCCUUGCCCUUUACAUACAAUUUUUCACUGUCAUACAGUGUUGCUUUUGCAAAAGCAAUCUAUAAAUUGACAACCACUUUGUUCUGGAUAUUCAUGUUUAUUGCUGCAACGGUAUUAAAUCUCAAUGAGACCAAA